CUAAACGCCGCUGCUGCUACUGCCACGCGUUCCAUAUAUGCUUUUUGACGACCGUCGAGUGCCGUUGCCCGAAUUUUUAGUCUGGGUCACGAGCCGAUACUGAGUCUUCUGCUGAGUCAGCCAAGUUUAAAAGCGAUGAUUUGAUGCACAGGUGUCAUAUGUAAUUAUUGUGUACUUACAUAACUAAUUAUCAUACGGAGUAUCAAUGUUUCAUAUCUCGUUGGUUGUAGUCCAAUCCCUUGUCUAAUCACACGGCAGGUUGGUAUAAGUACAAGCAGGAUUCAUGCUUGCAGGCAUGUGAGAGCAAAUUAAUUACAUGGAAAUCUAAGAUUCACAGUGGGGUUAGGAGCUGAUUUUUUGCCAUGUGGAGACCAAAACAGGACUUGAUAAUCUGCAACUUAACUAUAGAAAUUAGACCUUUUUGUGUUUUUGUCAUUAAGCGACUGAAAUUAGACUUUUACCGACUCUCAGUCAAUAACAUUGUAGAAAUCCUUUGAAGGACAUGCUUUUGCCAUAGUGGGUGUAGCCAUUGUACAUAGAACCUUGAUCGUUAUUAAAAGCACGUUCUGUAGCAGCAGAUGAAAGGUCACCAUAGUGAAUAAUAAGAUCUAAAGGGUCCAGAAAGCGAUUCCAGUUGUUGCUUCUAUGGAGCUCAUCAAUUGUUUUUGAAUCCAUCAAUAGAGGAUCCACCUAACUUGGUUUGAAGAUAACUUAUUUUCUACCUCUGGAGGAAUGCUGUUACAUGGCAAUCUCAUAAGUAAAAAACUCUGGCUUUAUCUUCUUGAGAGAGUUCAUAGCACCUACAGGUGCAGCAUGCCAAGCCAUUUGGCUUACAAAUUUGAGUAACUAGCUACUCAACACAUUGGGCCAAUCAGCAUUAACUUCGAUGAAGAAUCCCAUAUUUCAUUGACGAAAUAAGCACAUUAAUGUCUGUUAUCACUUUAUACGAGAAUGUGUUGAAGACGGGGAAAUGAUAGUAGAACACGUCAAUUUUAAAGGAUCGAGCAACGGGCUGAAAUUUUCACCAACGCCAUGGAGCAAGUUAAUUAAGUUCAUUGAAAUGAGAAACCUUCUCGGGGUGACGAAUACUGGGAUUGGUCUGGUUUAAGGGGGUGAAUGUGAAAUUUUGACUGGACUCACGGGGUCUGACCCGGUUCAGAACUGACCCAGUAGAAUGACUAGUUGGUCAUGUUUAGUUUUAUGUUCUAUUUACUAGUGGAUUAUUGAAUGCAUAUAUAAUCAUUUUUAUCAAAAUAGAUUAUUAUUAG